rnacentral:lncRNA from 1 species
AGAGAGGAGAGCUAUAUAGAUGGGGCACCGGUGGACUGCAGUGGCCAAACUGGGAAGAAUCUGGGUGUUGGGGGAGUCAGUACCUCGACCUCACCCUUUUCUCUCCUCUGAUCACCUACAGGCCUCUCCUUUGAAAGGGCUACAUCUAACUGGGAGCUGGAAGACAAAGUCAUGUAACUCAUGUGGGGCAGCAUUCCCAAGGGCCUGUGUAGCAGCCAGAAAGGUAGAGAGGGGAUCUGGAGAUGCAACAGAAGAGUCCAAAUACAUCUGCCAUAGCAUGAUUUUACUGCAAGUAUUUCUUUUUGUUGAUACUACACUAAAUAUCAUUCAUAGUCUUCAAAGCGGUUUCAUGCUCUUUGAUCUCCGGGGGGUCUACUCAAUCCUGAACCCGUGUAUCUCACCUAGAAGGACUCCAGGGCAGGACCCAAUCAGUGAAGAGCAAGUAUCUGUUUUUCCUUACAAAGGGUGACACCAAUUCAGUAUGUCCCUAUCCCUCAAGAGAAUAUUGUCUUUGGAAGUGUAUCAUUGCAGGGAGUCCUACUGCCAAUUGAUCACCAGUUUAAAAACACAUUAUAUAUAAUUGCAAUGUUUGUUGUUAAUUUAAAAAAAAAUAACAUGAUGAUAAUAGCUGGAUAUAGUCAAGUUCAAAUAGUUUAAACUAUGCUCCUAAACUUCAAAUUGACUUGAAUUAAAUGAUGCUUUUAGAGUUUGAAAUGGCAAGUACAAAUGUGAUAUAUUUGAGUGAAUU